GGACAACACUUACCACAGGUCUGCACAGGCUAAUCUGGGACAACACUUACCACAGGUCUGCACAUGCUAAUCUGGGACAACACUUACCACAGGUCUGCACAGGCUAAUCUGGGACAACACUUACCACAGGUCUGCACAGGCUAAUCUGGG